UACGGAGGGUGCAAGCGUUAUCCGGAUUCACUGGGUUUAAAGGGUGCGUAGGUGGGCAGGUAAGUCAGCGGUGAAAUCCCCGAGCUUAACUUGGGAACUGCCAUUGAUACUAUCUGUCUUGAAUACCUUGGAGGUGAGCGGAAUAUGUCAUGUAGCGGUGAAAUGCUUAGAUAUGACAUAGAACACCAAUUGCGAAGGCAGCUCACUACACGGUCAUUGACACUGAGGCACGAAAGCGUGGGGAUCAAACAGGG
rnacentral:rRNA from 1 species